AGAGUUUGAUCCUGGCUCAGGAUGAACGCUAGCUACAGGCUUAACACAUGCAAGUCGAGGGGCAUCAGGAAGAAAGCUUGCUUUCUUUGCUGGCGACCGGCGCACGGGUGAGUAACACGUAUCCAACCUGCCCUUUACUCGGGGAUAGCCUUUCGAAAGAAAGAUUAAUACCCGAUAGUAUAAUGAUUCCGCAUGGUUUGAUUAUUAAAGGAUUCCGGUAAAGGAUGGGGAUGCGUUCCAUUAGGUUGUUGGUGAGGUAACGGCUCACCAAGCCUUCGAUGGAUAGGGGUUCUGAGAGGAAGGUCCCCCACAUUGGAACUGAGACACGGUCCAAACUCCUACGGGAGGCAGCAGUGAGGAAUAUUGGUCAAUGGGCGGUAGCCUGAACCAGCCAAGUAGCGUGAAGGAUGAAGGCUCUAUGGGUCGUAAACUUCUUUUAUAUAAGAAUAAAGUGCAGUAUGUAUACUGUUUUGUAUGUAUUAUAUGAAUAAGGAUCGGCUAACUCCGUGCCAGCAGCCGCGGUAAUACGGAGGAUCCGAGCGUUAUCCGGAUUUAUUGGGUUUAAAGGGAGCGUAGGUGGACUGGUAAGUCAGUUGUGAAAGUUUGCGGCUCAACCGUAAAAUUGCAGUUGAUACUGUCAGUCUUGAGUACAGUAGAGGUGGGCGGAAUUCGUGGUGUAGCGGUGAAAUGCUUAGAUAUCACGAAGAACUCCGAUUGCGAAGGCAGCUCACUGGACUGCAACUGACACUGAUGCUCGAAAGUGUGGGUAUCAAACAGGAUUAGAUACCCUGGUAGUCCACACAGUAAACGAUGAAUACUCGCUGUUUGCGAUAUACAGUAAGCGGCCAAGCGAAAGCAUUAAGUAUUCCACCUGGGGAGUACGCCGGCAACGGUGAAACUCAAAGGAAUUGACGGGGGCCCGCACAAGCGGAGGAACAUGUGGUUUAAUUCGAUGAUACGCGAGGAACCUUACCCGGGCUUAAAUUGCAGUGGAAUGAUGUGGAAACAUGUCAGUGAGCAAUCACCGCUGUGAAGGUGCUGCAUGGUUGUCGUCAGCUCGUGCCGUGAGGUGUCGGCUUAAGUGCCAUAACGAGCGCAACCCUUAUCUUUAGUUACUAACAGGUUAUGCUGAGGACUCUAGAGAGACUGCCGUCGUAAGAUGUGAGGAAGGUGGGGAUGACGUCAAAUCAGCACGGCCCUUACGUCCGGGGCUACACACGUGUUACAAUGGGGGGUACAGAAGGCAGCUAGCGGGUGACCGUAUGCUAAUCCCAAAAGCCUCUCUCAGUUCGGAUCGAAGUCUGCAACCCGACUUCGUGAAGCUGGAUUCGCUAGUAAUCGCGCAUCAGCCACGGCGCGGUGAAUACGUUCCCGGGCCUUGUACACACCGCCCGUCAAGCCAUGGGAGCCGGGGGUACCUGAAGUACGUAACCGCAAGGAUCGUCCUAGGGUAAAACUGGUGACUGGGGCUAAGUCGUAACAAGGUAGCCGUACCGGAAGGUGCGGCUG
rnacentral:rRNA from 1 species